ACAAGUGUAGGGUGGAGAUGCACAACCGUCGGACUGCGUAGCAGCGCUUCAACCAAGACGUUUUAUUCCGUCCGCUGCCGAUGGCUGAUUCCUCCUCCUGAUAAACGUUGCUUCUGUUACGACAACAGCAGCGGGAGACGUCGUCGCGACCCCGGCCAGAUGGCCUGAUGUCGCUGGACACGGGAGCAUUAACCCGCUCCUGACACGCACCUGACACCGACCGCGAGAGUCGUGUGUGCCGGUCGCCGUUUCCGGUAGCCCCGGAAACCGA
rfam:Pseudomonas sp. FeS53a scaffold5.1, whole genome shotgun sequence.